rnacentral:rRNA from 1 species
UACGUAGGGUGCGAGCGUUUGUCCGGAAUUAUUGGGCGUAAAGGGCUCGUAGGCGGUCUGUCACGUCGGGAGUGAAAACUCGGGGCUUAACUCCGAGCCUGCUUCUGAUACGGGCAGACUAGAGGUAUGCAGGGGAGAAUGGAAUUCCUGGUGUAGCGGUGAAAUGCGCAGAUAUCAGGAAGAACACCAGUGGCGAAGGCGGCUCACUGGUCCGGUACUGACGCUGAGGUGCGAAAGCGUGGGGAGCAAACAGG